AUUGAACGCUGGCGGCAUGCUUUACACAUGCAAGUCGAACGGCAGCGCGGGCUUCGGCCUGGCGGCGAGUGGCGAACGGGUGAGUAAUGCAUCGGAACGUGCCCAGUAGUGGGGGAUAGCCCGGCGAAAGCCGGAUUAAUACCGCAUACGACCUGAGGGUGAAAGCGGGGGACCGAAAGGCCUCGCGCUAUUGGAGCGGCCGAUGUCGGAUUAGCUAGUUGGUGGGGUAAAGGCUUACCAAGGCGACGAUCCGUAGCUGGUCUGAGAGGACGACCAGCCACACUGGGACUGAGACACGGCCCAGACUCCUACGGGAGGCAGCAGUCGGGAAUUUUGGACAAUGGGGGCAACCCUGAUCCAGCCAUGCCGCGUGCGGGAAGAAGGCCUUCGGGUUGUAAACCGCUUUUGUUCGGGAAGAAAUCCUCUGGGCUAAUACCCCGGGGGGAUGACGGUACCGGAAGAAUAAGCACCGGCUAACUACGUG
rnacentral:rRNA from 1 species